rnacentral:lncRNA from 10 species
AGGGCGGCGAGCUACUCGACAAGUCGUCAGCGCGGCUGCGCCGCAGGAGCCCGGGAGGCCUUUCGCCCGAGGCGGGCUGCGGGCUGCUGGGGUCUGGUGCGGAGGGCCAACUUCUGGGAAUAACCUGGCUGUGGGCUUAAAAAUCGUAGUCAUUCAUUAUCACGGGCUUCUCUCUCUCGAAUACCUUUAACAUUUAUCGCCUUGUUAGUCUCCACAUCCACCUCCGUGAAAGGAAUUCUCAAGGGUCUCUUUGGAGGCUUACCAAGGACAUCCAGCUGCACAGUGAAGGUGGCUUCUCCUGCUCUAUUCUUGGCAACACAUGCAUAAGCCCCUGCAUCUGAAGCUCUGACUACUUCAAAGAUGAGUGAAUGAAGACCCUUCUCAGACACUAUCAUUUUGUGCAAAUCAUCUGAUUGAACUGUUCUUCCAUUUAGAUACCAUGACACAUCAGGAGCUGGCAGUCCACUCACCUAGAAAGAAAAACACAAGGAGAUGGCAGAAUUUUAAAGUAUUGCAUCACUGAAACCUAUUUGUCCAUAUAUGAAUUUAAACAGUUCCCGUAUCUGAGUGGGUUUGCGAUUGAAAUGCAAAGCAAGAGCUCAAAAGUAUUUAUAAUUUUUUAAACAAAACAUUGGAAAUAAGAUCCUUGAAAUUAACAUAGUAUUUUUAGACUGUCUCAAACCAUAACUCUUUUACAUGCAACCUCAGUCUCUUUAUGAACUCUUAAUUUCUAUAUUUAGAACAUUAAUUUAUGUUACAUUGGUUUCCAUAAGGAAUAUAGAAGUCAUUGCUUUUCUGGCUAAAUGUGACUGCAAAUGAAGUCCCAGAGGCACAUAUAUAUGAGGCUUCCUGAUCUAAUGCGUAAUUUUUCUAAAACAGAGUGUUCUUGAGCUAUAGUUUGGCAUAUAAAUGGCAAUUUGUUAAGUGUUUUUACAUAAACUGUUAACAGUGGAAUCCAAAGCUUUAACACUAACUUGAGUUCAUAAGGAAUCUGGAAAAAAAAUUUUAUAAGGAAAAGUUCUCCAAAAUAAGGAUAAUAAAAAUAUAACCUCUUCUAAAGAGCUUUUCUAGUCUGAGGGACUCUUUUAGGCCAAGAGAAAGCAGGGUGGCUUGAAUUUCUUGAUAGAGGAGAAUUGGAGAGACAUUAUACUUUAAGGCUGGGCACAGUGGCUCACGCCUGUAAUCCCAGCACUUUGGGAAGCCAAGGUGAGUGGAUCGCCUUGAACCCAGGAGUUCUAGACUAGCUGGGCAUGGUGGCACGCGUCUGUAGUUUCAGCUACUAGGGAGGCUGAGUUGGGAUGAUGGCUUGAGCCUGGG